GGGAGUAACCCAUAAAGUAAUCGGAUUUAUAAUUAGCCAACAGCUGGCUCUAUCUCUUUCCUCUCUGCGCAACACGUCUACAAUGGCUUCGCUCUGCGCUCUCUCUCCACCGUCCACUUCUGCUUCUUCUUCUUCUUCUCGUCCGCAACUUCAUCAGCGCGGCUUUCCCUCUACUUUUAGAAUCCGAGCUUCUUCUUCUUCUUCUUCUUCGGAUUCUUCGGCUUCCACUUCUUCGCCGAGAGUGGUGGUGACCAGAGAGCGUGGCAAGAACGGCAAGCUCAUCAAAGCUCUGGCUAAGCAUGGGAUCAACUGUCUGGAGCUUCCCCUCGUUCAGCAUACACACGGGCCUGAUAGGGAUAUGCUUUCUUCUGUAAUAAGUGCAGACACUACAUUUGACUGGAUUGUAAUAACUUCCCCUCAGGCGGGUUCGGUCUUUCUGGAAGCAUGGAAGGCUGCUGGGACCCCAAAUGUUAAUGUAGGUGUUGUGGGAGCUGGUACAGCGAGCGUUUUUGAGGACGUAAAGCAGUUCUCCAAGCAAUCACUCAAUGUUGCCUUUGCACCCUCAAAAGCUACAGGUAAGGUUUUGGCUUCUGAGCUUCCGAAGAAUGGGAAAAGAUGCAGAGUCUUAUAUCCUGCUUCUGCAAAAGCUAGCAAUGAGAUUGAGGAAGGCUUGUCUGGUCGUGGAUUUGAGGUCACAAGGCUAAAUACAUAUACGACGGUACCAGUUCAACAUGUUGACCCAGUGCUUUUAAAGCAGGCACUUUCUACUCCUGUUGUUACAGUUGCUUCACCUUCAGCGGUUCGUGCCUGGGUCAAACUUAUUUUGGAUUCAAAGAAGUGGAACAAUUCAGUUGCCUGUAUUGGUGAGACAACUGCUUUGGCUGGGAAAAGUUUAGGCCUGCAAAAUGUGUACUACCCAACACAACCAGGCCUUGAAGGCAGGUGGGUUGAUAGCAUCCUUGAGGCAUUGGGAGCACAUGAUCAUUUCUAGAAAGUGAUUCUAUCUAGUUCUCUCCCAGGACUUGGCAGGCUGACAACGAGGCAACGAGUUCAGGAUCAGACUUUGCAGCUUCUGGACAAACUAGAUGCAAAACGAAGAUGAAAUUUUUUGCUAGCAGCAGCAUGACAGAAAGGUGUAUUGACUCUUUGACACCCUGAAGUGACCAUAUCCAAUGGGCAGAGCUUUCUUUCAAGGUUAGUCAAGGGAUAUCCAGAGGAUAUUGUGACAAAGAAAGCUCUCCAACAUCAACUGUACUACUAUGUUGACAAGAUUUGGUUUUGCUACUACUUCAUGAAACAUUGACGAAGUGAAUACCAGGGCCUCCAAGCGGUGUUGACCGUCAAGUUUGAUUCGUUUAAAGCGAACCUAGUAGAGGUUACUGGAACGAGAGGAUCUGUGUCGCCACUGCAAGUUCAUUUGACAGAAUAGU